GCCUGGAGCAUCAGUGCCUGCCACUUAAAGGAAGAGAACUGAAGAUUAAGUCGUAUUCCCUUCAAGAAACCACUUCUUGUUACCAGAAGAAUUCUCCUCCAUCAGGUGCAUGGAUGAGCCUCUGUCUUCAAAGCUUCUCCAAAUUCACUAGUUUCAGCAUCAGGGAAAGACAGGUACCAAAUGGAAGUAGGAAGGGACGAAAUUGUUAGGUGCGGUGUAACGGAGGACCCCAGAAUGCAGACAAGCAGGCAGCAUGAUGAGUCCUUUCCACUUGGUAUUUUUCCUAAAAUAUGGUCGCAGGAUGGUGCAGCCAGGACCUGAAGACAACAAACCACUAGGCAACAUUAUAAUCGCUAAAUUCAGCUUUUAUAUAUGUACAGAUUCAGAUUGCACUGAUCAACAAUUAUCAAAGUGCACGACAUCUUGCAUACUAACAAUGUAUUAUGGAUUGUUGUCAAGCAAAAUUUAACUAAAAACAGCUUUUGCAUCCAGGAAAAGCUUUUAGGAGGCAGUUUAAUGUCAAAGGUGUUAUGGUGAGUCAGUGUUCAUUUAUAUGCUGGCAGCCUCAGUAGAAUCACAGUGAAAAGAUGCUGUGCUCUGACCAGGCCAGUGUGAUGUGGAUGAAUGAGCAUAUUAUAAUGCAUGGCAACAUUGUCCUUGUCUUUCUACUGCAACCUGUUGAAUAAAUCUAGGAUAAAAAUUCCAAGUGAGCAUGUCAUUGAUUUUAGAUUGAGGUGCAGUAAACAAUGUAUUUCAUUUAUCCAGCUUAAAACACUACUUUCAUUUCGUGUCUCUCACUAGUAAAAUCAGUUAAAAGUUUAAGCAUUUUCAGGAUGUCUUUAAUAAGUAAUUCAAAGAAAUGACCUAAUUUUCUUGCCUCUUUAGGAUCUUUUUUGUCCAAUUUAUUACAAUGACAGGAACCUUGACAGCAAUGAUCUCAUUUCAUCCAAAUCUUUUAUUGACAUUAAACAGACAAGUGUUUUCCAUGUUUGUUGUGUUGUCUCAAUAUAUUUUUUGUGUGAUUCUUUUGCAUAAGUGCAGUAUAGCACUUUUUUUUUGUGAUGUUGAAAUGUAAUAUUAUCUACUCACCAAACGUUUUGUAUAUAAAGAGAAAAAGAAACAUUGCAGACAGAAGCACUUCAGCUCAUUAACAGCCUGGAAUAAUGGUGAAAUAAGUCCGACAUGCUAUCUUGCAGGCCUGAGUGUUUGACUAUCCUUUUUGCAAUACCUUAGAGUUUAUUCAAUUUUGUCUUUUAUUUAACAUUUUUUUUUUUACUCCUUCUGAUUUUGUUUCACAUUGUCACUAGUUUUGAUGUCUAAAAUGAAGGAAGCGUAUCAGUUAUUACAUUAUUGUUAAUUUCAGUGAUGUGAAAAAUUAUUUUCUUUUGUUUUUAGUUUUUGUCACACUUCAGUGUUUCAUGUUUAUCAAAGACAUUUUAACUAACAAAGCAUUUUCAGACAUGGACGACAGGUAAUUAAUGGAACCAUGAAAUCUGCUCGCUAGCUGCAAAUACUAGCAGCAAAUACUGGAGGAGAAUGUCUUAGCCAUCAGUUUGUGACCUUAAGCUCAAUCAUUCGUGGCUUUGCAGCAGGUCAAGCACACCUGCAAGUCUACUUCUGAAUGGGUAAAAAAAAAUAAUGGUAUUGGAGUGGCCUAGCACAAAUCUAGACGUAAACCUUAUUAGAAAGCAGUUGCAUGACCUUAAAUAGGCCAUUUGUACUUGAAAACCCUCCUGUGUGGCUGAAUAAAAGCAGUUCUGCUAAAAAGCAUGGGCCCUCUAAAGGGAAGCAAUUUGAAUGUUUUGGACUUUAGAUAACAUUUUAGCUAAUUCCCAGAACCCGAAGUCAAAACAAGACUCACAUUGUUUCAGGGUUUUCAAAGAAACAAAACAAUUAAGGCACAUGUAAUCAUUAAAUAUUCUGUUGAACUGAGCAGAUACAACUUUAAGAUGGAUACAAAUUCAUAGAGAGAAAGGAAAUUAUACACAGCAUGUGUAAUUCAGCCAAUGCAGCCACAUCAUGACUUACCAAAUGAAGUGGCUGCACUAGGAAGGAAAAAUCCUUUUUUUGUAGUUUGAAAUUAUCUAUAGAAAGCCUGAUUGUCCACCUUGAUCUUUUAACAGAGUUUAGAGUAUCUAUAGUCACAUUACAUCCUUAAAAAGUGUAAUUUUCUCCUAAAAGACUACAUAUAGUAAAUUUAGACAUCCUAAUACAGUCCCUAUGUUUUCUAGAUAGAUAUAUAGACAUACAGCUGUUUAAAAUGAAGUUCAACAAUACUGCACAAUUUUAAAAAUAUAUAAUAAAAACUGAUAAGAGGUUUUAGCUUUUUCUCUCAGAUGGAAUUAAAAAAAACUUGAGCUCUCCUAAGCUCUCUAUUUAAAUGGACAAAACUAAGCUUUAAUUUUUUUGUGACAUAAAAAGUGAAUAGCUGUAUUAUAUUGCAGUAUAUGUAUUAUAUUGUAUUAUAUUAUAUAUCUGGCGAAAAACCAGGAAUUUGGCUGUUUGGAUUCGCCUUUGAGAAGCACCAGCGAGACUCUCAAGGCUGACGGA